UGCUCAAUUCUUUGCUUGUACUGCUUUGUUAGAUCAUAAUUUGCUUUAGUUCAAAGUUUUGAAUACUUUUUGUUAAAAGAAAUUGGAUUUUGAUUUUUUUGCUUUUAGACAUUAUUGGUGUUUUUGAGAGUUAUAUUCUUAUUUAUGUAUAGAGUACUCUCGAUCUCUCUGUCGUCGCACCCUCACCUCACCCUCACUCUCGGUCUGCUCUCCGAUCUCUCCCCGAUCUCUCAGACGCCGAAGCCCAGAAAUUGAAGGAGUAUCUCUUGGAAAUUCGGUCACUGGUAUAAUAUAAUUUUGUGGCAUCAAUGUAUUUAUUUUUUAAUUA